rnacentral:tRNA from 1 species
GGCCAGAUAGUUGCGGUCCAUGCGGUGUUCGGCUUUGAUAUGGCCGAUGACCGGCUCGACGGCGGAGCGUCGCCGCAUCUGGCGC